rnacentral:rRNA from 1 species
CGGGAAUAUUGCGCAAUGGAGGAAACUCUGACGCAGUGACGCCGCGUAUAGGAUGAAGGUUUUCGGAUUGUAAACUAUUGUCAUUAGGGAAGAUAAAAGACAGUACCUAAGGAGGAAGCUCCGGCUAACUACGUGCCAGCAGCCGCGGUAAUACGUAGGGAGCAAGCGUUAUCCGGAUUUAUUGGGUGUAAAGGGUGCGUAGACGGGAGAUUAAGUUAGUUGUGAAAGCCCUUGGCUUAACUGAGGAAUUGCAACUAAAACUGGUUUUCUUGAGUGUAGGAGAGGUAAGUGGAAUUCCUAGUGUAGCGGUGAAAUGCGUAGAUAUUAGGAGGAACACCAGUGGCGAAGGCGACUUACUGGACUGUAACUGACGUUGAGGCACGAAAGUGUGGGGAGCAAAC